rnacentral:lncRNA from 1 species
GGAGCGAGCUGGGGACGUAAUGUUGUGUGGCUGACCACAAGGGAGUGUUGUGUGGACGGAGAGUCAACUUCCACCCAUGUAGCUUUCGUACUCCCUGCUUACUACGCUCCACCCAUGCAACAAUCAGAAGUUUCAGUGAAGUUUCAAAAACUAUUUUGUGUUCUAUGUUCCAUAUGUUUUCUCUUUUUAACUUGGCGUUUCUGUAGGGCGUAAGACGCCCAUGUAAUUUUUUCCAGACAGUAAGCUCUUCAUUGUUUUUGAGAUCAAAGAAUCCGUCUGUAAUGUUAAUGCUAAGGUUUACGUUUAAAAAAAAAGUAGUUGUGUACAUGACACCAUCCACGUUCACUGAUAUAUUGUGGCGUCUACUAUCGGAUUUCUCAGAAAAUUAUUAAAAAUC